AGAGUUUGAUCCUGGCUCAGAUUGAACGCUGGCGGCAUGCCUUACACAUGCAAGUCGAACGGUAACAGGUCUUCGGAUGCUGACGAGUGGCGAACGGGUGAGUAAUACAUCGGAACGUGCCUAGUAGUGGGGGAUAACUACUCGAAAGAGUAGCUAAUACCGCAUGAGAUCUACGGAUGAAAGCAGGGGAUCGCAAGACCUUGUGCUACUAGAGCGGCUGAUGGCAGAUUAGGUAGUUGGUGGGAUAAAAGCUUACCAAGCCGACGAUCUGUAGCUGGUCUGAGAGGACGAUCAGCCACACUGGGACUGAGACACGGCCCAGACUCCUACGGGAGGCAGCAGUGGGGAAUUUUGGACAAUGGGCGAAAGCCUGAUCCAGCAAUGCCGCGUGCAGGAUGAAGGCCUUCGGGUUGUAAACUGCUUUUGUACGGAACGAAAAGCUUUGGGUUAAUACCCUGGAGUCAUGACGGUACCGUAAGAAUAAGUACCGGCUAACUACGUGCCAGCAGCCGCGGUAAU
rnacentral:rRNA from 1 species